UACCUAAAGAUAACUUCUCCAUCAGGCCAUGUGAAAAGAAACACCCUUUCCUGUGAGCCCCAACGUUCUGUGUCUCUCCGAUGCCUGUGGCGUGCAUGAUAAGCUCUGGCUUGCAGAUAGGCCUGUAUCAGUGCAGGUAUGGCGAAGGUGUGAAAGGGUGCAGGUGUUGCAGCUUGAUUGGUGCAGGAUCACCUUGGAAUCCCGCUUCUGCUCUGACUGUACUGACGCUUCCAGAGAGGAACGACUAAGGAGCAGAGGCCACCUCGGAUGUGGCUGGCACCAUCUCACAGGGCCCUGGGCUGACUGCAAAGGAGAAAGUCAAUCACAGAAGAAAUCUGGGUGGAACUAAAGCGAAGUAGGAACCUGGAGGCAGGAGCUGAUGCAGAGAACACGGAGGGGCGCUGCUUACUGACUUGCUCCCCAUAGAUUGCUCAGCCUGCUUUCUUAUAUAACCCAGGAAUGCAUCAGUCCACAAUAACAGUUCUCAACCUGUGGCUGGAGACUCCUUCACGGGGGUCGUGUAAGACCAUUGGAAAACACAAACAUUCACAUUACAAUUCAGACCAGUAGCAAAACUAAAAUUGUGAAGUAGCAAUGAAAACAAUUUUAAGGUCAGAAGUCACCAAAACAUGACUAAAGGUGUGGGAAGCCAUAUGUGCCGUUGCAGAGUGGCACUGACUACUGCUGGCCACCACGCAUAAGUUUGGACAAACAACCAAUGUGUACGUAUGCAGUAAAGUUUUUUGCAAAGACACUGCCUGGCCCGGGCAUGAUAAUGAGGCUUUGAGAGUAUAACCAAUCAGAUGUGAGACAUGCAAAUGAGGUAUGAUAAUGAGGCUCUGUGAGGUACAGAGAGAGAGAGAGAGAGAGAGAGAGAGAGAGAGAGAGAGAGUAGCCAAUCAGAUGAGGAACAUGCAAAUGAGGCAUAGUGCAUAACCAAUCCGGGUGUGAGACAUGCCUCUCCUAGGCCUAUAUAAGCAGCACCAGUUCUGGGCUCGGGGUCUCUUCGCCUCUACAAUCAAGCUCUCCCAAUAAACGUGU